GGGGAAUAUUGCACAAUGGGCGCAAGCCUGAUGCAGCGACGCCGCGUGAGGGAUGGAGGCCUUCGGGUUGUAAACCUCUUUUAUCGGGGAGCAAGCGAGAGUGAGUUUACCCGUUGAAUAAGCACCGGCUAACUACGUGCCAGCAGCCGCGGUAAUACGUAGGGUGCAAGCGUUAUCCGGAAUUAUUGGGCGUAAAGGGCUCGUAGGCGGUUCGUCGCGUCCGGUGUGAAAGUCCAUCGCUUAACGGUGGAUCCGCGCCGGGUACGGGCGGGCUUGAGUGCGGUAGGGGAGACUGGAAUUCCCGGUGUAACGGUGGAAUGUGUAGAUAUCGGGAAGAACACCAAUGGCGAAGGCAGGUCUCUGGGCCGUUACUGACGCUGAGGAGCGAAAGCGUGGGGAGCGAACAGGAUUAGAUACCCUGGUAGUCCACGCCGUAAACGGUGGAUGCUGGAUGUGGGGCCCGUUCCACGGGUUCCGUGUCGGAGCUAACGCGUUAAGCAUCCCGCCUGGGGAGUACGGCCGCAAGGCUAAAACUCAAAGAAAUUGACGGGGGCCCGCACAAGCGGCGGAGCAUGCGGAUUAAUUCGAUGCAACGCGAAGAACCUUACCUGGGCUUGACAUGUUCCCGACGGUCGUAGAGAUACGGCUUCCCUUCGGGGCGGGUUCACAGGUGGUGCAUGGUCGUCGUCAGCUCGUGUCGUGAGAUGUUGGGUUAAGUCCCGCAACGAGCGCAACCCUCGCCCCGUGUUGCCAGCGGAUUAUGCCGGGAACUCACGGGGGACCGCCGGGGUUAACUCGGAGGAAGGUGGGGAUGACGUCAGAUCAUCAUGCCCCUUACGUCCAGGGCUUCACGCAUGCUACAAUGGCCGGUACAACGGGAUGCGACGCGGCGACGCGGAGCGGAUCCCUGAAAACCGGUCUCAGUUCGGAUCGCAGUCUGCAACUCGACUGCGUGAAGGCGGAGUCGCUAGUAAUCGCGAAUCAGCAACGUCGCGGUGAAUGCGUUCCCG
rnacentral:rRNA from 2 species